rnacentral:lncRNA from 1 species
CUUGCCCCAUGGUGACGUUAAAACCAAUAGCAGAAGCAAAAGCCAUAUUGCUGCCGACGUCUAUAGAAGUGAUCUGAGUGGUACUGUUUCUCAAGAAGAGCAUAGGAGGACGAGCUGUCUGGUUGCAGGUGAGCUCGAAGCCUUGCCGGAAGCAACCAGAGCCUAUCCCGAAGGGAUAGGAGAUUUCGACAUCCCCGCAGUGGGUGGGGCAGCUAAUCAAGGAGCCAUUGGAAGGGAUAUGCAGGAUGCCGUUGCUGCUAGCGUCUCCAUGGACGGCCGUGGCCAGCGCUCGCGGAACAGCGGCCAAGCAGGCGAGCACAGCACACAUGCCAACUAGAACUCCGGUGGAGGACAUCGUUGUAUAUACGGGUGACCUGUAAGCUUCGUGUGUUUGUGUAUCUGUGGCUGGUGUUGGGAUCGGUGGGUAACAAAAUGAGAGGCAGCUUGUGGCAAUGUGCACUGUCUACACCAUAUAUACUAUUGUUAUCCUGAGACUGCACAAGCAGUAGAGGGGUUUGUGCUGUUAAUCCAAGGAGGAAGUGAGCAUGGAAUUCCAGGGGCAGCAGUCCCAUCAGAUGUUACGGUCGUCGCUGGGGCCAAAAAAAUACAAGACUCGCCAAUAACCUGCGUUGUUGACUUGCUGGUCCACGCCUAUUGCUGACGGGCCAUGUGUUUCGAUCUGAUAUCUUCUCACUUCAUCAAUAGGACCGGAGUAAAGAUAUCCCUGUCAUCCUAAGCUAAACGUUCUGGUUAACUAUAACCUCACCUACUGGUAAACUUGAUGCUAACAUAUAUCAACCGUGGACUGACUACGUACAUCACUUACAUGGUCUGUCUAGUCUUCUCACGAGUACUCCAGAAAAUCCAUCUCAAAAUAAAAAAGGAAGUGUCUCUACGCUACGCAUAUCACAAUCCUUACAGCAGGGUAAAAGGGACCGAAUACCACCCGGCGUAUAUGGUCCAGGUAAAUUACCCGUCAUCAUCAAUCAAAAAACCUCACAAGUCAGUCCUGCAGCAAUCACGGGGACUGACUCUAGUACGGGACAGUAUUUCCUACGAGCAAGAUAGCAGGACGAAAGCAAUACGGUGAGAGCAGAGAUUUCGCGUCGAACCUCUCACUUCACUAGAAUGUACUGUACUAGUAUUUUCUACGCACGUGAGAGGGUGAGAGUUGAUAUUUGCGGAGCGGAUGGAAUUUUCAGUGGACGCUCCCCUCCUCUGAAAAUCCCAUCUCGUUUUCUCGUGGAACGUGCAGCAACCGCUAAUCACAAGUCGACCGGUCAAGUGUGCGGUAAUCCGAAAAUUUUGGCCGCUCCUGGAGCGCUCCCAAUCGCGGAUCGCCCGCCAGUUUUCUCGCCUCCUUCCGUUGAGGACGGCGCCUACGUUGGAUUUUGAAUUGCUCCAUCCGUUUAUCAUGCGGCGAUCGAGAAAAAGAAAACAAAGGUUGUGACGAGAGAGGAUGACGUGGAGAAGAGAAGAGGCUCGGACCCAUGAAUUGAUGACAUAGCAACACUUUAAUUUUUUUGAACCAAACUUUUUUGGAAACUGUUGGGUAAGAAAGUCUUUUUUCCACCCAAUAAUUAUUGUCAAAGUCCAAAAAUCAGUUUUUUGACUUCUAUUUUUUUUUUCACCCUCUGGAGAUGCUCUAACGUCCGAAAUAACUUUUAAAAUAGUUUUGGAAACUGAUCCAAAAACUCUUUUUCCAACAGCGGCCUGAUCACGGCGCCAAAAUUCUGCACGCUCAAAACCCACGGCCGCGAGAGCCAAAUUUCAUUUCUGAAGAAGGAUCGCGCUCCCAAUCGCGGAGGUUGAGGGAAGAAACGUCGAUCCGUCCGUGCGCAUAAUUUUUCUAGCCUGCCCGCAUGCUGUGAAGAUCGUCGGGGCCUGUUUAUUGCACUGGCGUGCCGCCGCCGCCCGCCGGUCAUCGAGUCCGGGGCCAACACUGUUUCGUCUCGUCCGUGGAGCAGAGGGCCUUCGCGCAGCUGCGGGGAUGCGGAGUAGCAGGGUCCGGCCAUCGGUCAUCGGGAAAUGUCAGAAGAUCUCUGAAAAAUUCAGGCAUGAUGAGGGAGUUCAGGAGCCUGCCUCUGCCAUGUUCGUUCUACAGUUUCUUUGCUGUCUGGGUUCUGCUAUUUCUUUUUCCUUGAAGCUAUUCUGUCUGGAACUCUGGAUUCUGUCAUUUCCAUUUCUGCAUAUUAGAGUGUAAUUGAUUGUGAUUUUAAAUGGAAUUUAACUCAAAUAUGAUAGCUGACAAGAGCUCAGACAAAUCGCAUACCGGUAAUGCAGACAAAUCACAUACCGGUAAUGCGGCACUAUCGGGCUGAAAAUAACCCUCCUCGGCCCACGGGGGUGCUUUGCGGGCACUUCACGAAGCACGCACGGUCAUCUAAUAACAACUUUUGAGCCCGAACCUCGUGCUGCCGGGCACCACUACGCGCCGCCGCUCCUCGUCCUCAUCGCCGCAGACUAUGCCCAGCGGCAGCGCCGCUCUUCGCUAUCGAGGUCGCCGCAGCUCGACAGAGCAAGUGGAAUCGGCAGGGCGGGGCAGGCUCCUCGCGCUCGGGAUCUUCUCCCAGCUCAUCCCACACUCCCAGUGCGAGGAGCAGCCGGCCGACACGGCCCCGUGGCAUUGGCCACUGUCGUCUCCUAAAAUUGGUACGCUCCCUUGGCACAUGGCCAUCUCAAUGGAAUGUAUUGCUUGAUUUAUUGACAAAAUGGUUUGGUACGAAAUAUUCUGAAGGUAGGUACUGAUCCGCGCUCGCUCACAAUGUUACAGAAGAUUAUAAAUCUAAAAUACGGCAAGCUAACUGGUUUUCUAUAUGCAGAACAGUUGCAUAUGCAGUGUUAUUAGCUAGAGUGUACUUUUCAGAUCAGCAAAUGGAGUUUUAAAGUUCUCUGUUCAACACUUUUCGAUAGUGUCACAUGAAAAGACAUGCAACGGAAGAGUGGGGUUCCUAUUGCCCUGAUGCCGUCACGGCGUUAUGCCAGAUCUUUGAGUUAUGAGUGUCACUUCAUAGUAAUCAUGCUAAUACUUUGCAAAAAGAUGCCGUAAUAUGUUGCAGCUUAAAUCAUAUUCCGUAUAUCAGUCAGCGGUCUACUGGAACCACCUAUUAAGCCACUGGCAAUUUACACCCAAUUGUUACUGGACUCGUUGAUAACCACAACAGUUUUCUUAUACAAGCGUUGAUAACCACAACAGUUUUCUUAUACAAGCUUAUCUUUAGUACUGUAACUUAUGUACAAAUAUAAAAAGUAUACAACAGUCGCGGUCUACAAUAUAUUGUACACGUGAAAUGCAUCUAUGUGAUAUAGUAUCAUCGAAAGGAAAGUAAUAUAAUGUGAAUCUUCAAUAAAAUACAUGAUACCUCAGAUGCAUUAUAUUCAAUUAGCGUGGCAAAGAUGCAAAUUCUUGCUCCAAACUGUAGCACCCAGAGCUCCCAGCAUUGACAAGAUCGAUAUGCCCAUAUAAGUUCUUAUCUUGUGGGCAUAACAAAGGCUCAAUAUCUGCAUCUUUUUCAGCUAAACCUUUUCUAAGUCUCUUUGUUCUUAGAAAUUGCAACCUCAUAUCUACUUCUUUCAUAGUCGGUCUGUCUCCUCCUUUGACCCUUAAGCAUGCUUCUGUAAGUGAGGCGAUUUCAUUAAUCUCUUCCUGGUCUGCCUCUUCCACAACUUGUUUAUCCAGUAUUUCUACAAGGGACCCUGCAUGAAGUCCUUCAAUGAAGUAAUGUGAUAGGCUUUGUUUAGCACCUAAAUCAUUGAUAAAAAUUGGCUUCUUCCUUAUCAAAAGUUCAACAAGUAUUACUCCAAAACUAUAUACAUCACUCUUUUCAGUAAGCUGACCAGUAUGAUAGUACUCUGGGUCCAAGUAGCCGAAUGUACCUUGGACAAUCGUAACCACAUGAGUCUCAUCAAGCGAAAUAGAUCUUGAAGCACCAAAGUCUGAGACCUUUGUGGUGAAGUUGUCAUCCAAGAGUAUAUUUGAAGACUUAACAUCUCUGUGGAAAAUUGGUAUUGUAGCAGCUGAGUGUAGAUAAGCAAGUGCCCCUGCUGCUUCCAUUGCAAUCCUAAUGCGAUCAUCCCAUGAAAGCAAGCAUUUUACUGUAGUAUCAGAGUGAACACCAUUUCCAUGUGGANNNNNNNNNNNNNNNNNNNNNNNNNNNNNNNNNNNNNNNNNNNNNNNNNNNNNNNNNNNNNNNNNNNNNNNNNNNNNNNNNNNNNNNNNNNNNNNNNNNNAUGAACUCAUAGACAAGCAUGGGCACCUCAUCUUCUAGGCAGCAACCAAACAGUUUCACCACAUUACGAUGGAUGAUUUGAGACAAAAUAACAACCUCAUUGAUAAACUGGUCUAUCUCUAUUUGUUCCACUAUUUUGGAUUUUUUUAUCGCCACCACACGUUGGUCAGAUAAAAUCCCUUUAUAAACCGUGCCAUGUCCUCCACGACCAAGAACACGAGUAGCAUCAAAGUUGUUUGUUGCCUCCUCUAGUUCCUCCAAUGAGAAUAUUUUAGUUUUGCUUGUGGUGCUUUCAUCAGAGAUCAAUUGCUCCAAUAGCAGGCCUUGAUUUUUCUUGAAGUGUGCUCUUCUGAUUCUCUUUUGGAUGCCCCUUUUCCACUUAUUGGCAAGUACGAUUACACCCAAUGCAAUAAUUAUGGAGCCAAUGCCACAACUGAUUCCAAUUGCAAUACCUGUAUGCAUUCGCCAUUCUUAUGAAAUCAUACUAAUGUUUAUAAAUUGCAAUUGCAAGGUGCUGUUGUUUGCUUGACACUUACCCAAAAUAAGAUUCCGUUGCUUAGUUGAUGUAACACACCGCUUCUUUGUCCAAUCAAAUUCUUUAUUAUGAGGGCACGGUGUGCACUUAUAGGUCCCAGGAAAGUUUUGACAUGUACCAUUGCAGUAGUUUGGCAGGGAGCAUUUGGCAGGGAGCAUUCAUCAAUAUCUGUAGAUAACUCAUUCAAUAUAUAUGUUAAUGGUUCGGAUCUAUGCUUGCAUUAUUACUGAAUUGAUUUACUUUCCUUCUAUUUUCAAGUACAAGCGAUGUUAGUUCUGUACGCGUACCGAAGGAGAAGCCGGAUGUACCUGUGCAGCCGGUUCUUUAUAAUAUUUUGAAAAAUGAGAUGCUGUUCAAAUAUAGUUUAGGAGAGAAAUAUACCUGUACAAUUGUUUUGCAGGUAUGGAUUUCCAUGGAAGCCAUCAUUACACUUGCAGAGAUACCCAUAAUUUGUUUUCCCUCGCCUGACAUCUUGGCAGUUACUGUUGUCACUGAUACACGCAUAGUACAUUUCUUUACUUUGCUUAGCUUGUUGACAAGUCAAGUUUGCAACAACCCACUUUAUUACUAUUUCAUCUUCCUGUGAGAAAUCAUAAAUACCAUCCACAACCGACGGCAUAUAAUAAGAGUACCGAAAUCCGUUAGUACCAUCAUAGUUGGAAUUGACUAUCCUUUCCAUGUUAUUGUAGCUUGUGUCAUUCAGCAUGUUGCUAACAGCCAGAGACCCAUCAUCAAGUGAUAUACGAGUCACACGAUAUUGUGCGUACCGACGGUCAAGAACGGUGCCAUCACUUGUGCAGUUGAGUCGAAAGUUAUCAUUUGCAUAACAGCCUUCUUCAAUCCCAAAUGGGAACGGAAUACUAAUGUUCCCACAUGAUCUUGUACAGUUCUCUUUGGGCGUUGAAUCGUAAGCUGCUUCAUGACAAAUAAAUAAGGUGAGGAAGUAAGACUAAAUCUAAAGAAAUUAAUAAGGCUACUUUAGAAGAAAAAGAUUCUUCUGGUUUCACAAGCUCUGUGAGACAAUAAAUAUUUUCAAGCUGUAGCUAGCCAUAAAUUGCAUGACAAGCCAAACUGCGGCGGCAAAAAUCCCAUGCCAUGCUUGUACGUGGCUAGAAAAGACUCGAUGUUGCUAGCAACUAGAAAAUGUGUAACAUGCCGCAGCUUAUCACAAGCGAAACAAUAACCUUAUUUUUUUAUAGCAGCCGGACAUUUGAUGUGGCAACGGCAAUCAAACGAGGUACUCCCUCCGUUAAUUUGGAGAGUCAAAUUAUCUCAAGUUUGAUCAAAUUUAUGUAAUAAAGUACUAACAUUCAUGAUACCAAAUAGCUACCAUUAGUUUCUUCAUUAAAUAUAUUUUCAUAGUAUAUCUAUUCCGUGCUAUAAACUUUUGUGAUUUUUAUAAUUUUGGUCAAAUAUAAAAUGGUUUGACUCUCCAAGAAAGUUGGAAUGACUUAUAAUUUAGAAUGGAGGAGUAAAUCUCGAACUAUAUAUGCUGAAUUAUUUAAAAUAUCGUGAACAACAAGAAGCAACGAGGUAUAGACCUUUGCAGCCAUUUACGAUGUAGGGGUUGCCUUGCCCGUAAUUGAGGCAUGAGCAACUGUAGCCUCGUCGUAGAUCUUGGCAGUUGCUUUCAUCAUUACAAGCAUAACUAUCCUUAUUCACUCGGGCACGUUCACAAUUUGGUUGGUCCGUGAUGGCGAUCUGAAUUAUUGUAUCUUCAACAUUGCUCAUGUUUACCCAACUCGAGUAAAGAUCACCCAAAACGAAGCUAUAAUACUGUGGUAGUAAAACCUUGACAUCAUUUAGUUGCGCUCUUGUACCGUUGCGGCGGACGAUAUUAAUCAUAAAGGCUGGCAGGUCCCUCGUCAAAUAGAUGUUGCAGCAGCCAAUCCCAUCACGACAGGAGCCGAAAACAUUUGCCCUCUCCGUGGUCCGGUCAUCUGCGCAUAUGCUCAUGCAAGAACCAAUGAGGUCAGUCCAGUUAUUACCGAACAUGUAGACUUCGAGACCGCAUCCAACGACAUACAAAGCAUCGUUAAUUUCACUGAUAACAGCGCCACCAUCAGGGGUACCCCAGGACAUGUACGUGUCCACACCUUGCCCCAUGGUGACGUUAAAACCAACAGUAGAAGCAGAAGCCAUAUUGCUGCCGACGUCUAUAGAAGUGAUCUGAGUGGUACUGUUUCUCAAGAAGAGCCUAGGAGGACGAGCUGUCUGGUUGCAGGUGAGCUCGAAGCCUUGCCGGAAGCAACCAGAGCCUAUCCCGAAGGGAUAGGAGAUUUCGACAUCCCCGCAGUGGGUGGGGCAGCUAGUCAAGGAGCCAUUGGAAGGGAUAUGCAGGAUGCCGUUG